AGGUCAAGAAAGAAAGAGCAAAGGGCGAAUGCCUUGGCACUGGGCGCCGAAGAAGGACGCGGUAAGCGGCGAAACGCUACGGGGAGCUGCAAGCAAGCAUUGAUCCGUAGAUAUCCGAAUGGGGAAACCCACGCUGGGAGAACCCAGCGUAUCCUUACGUAAAUUCAUAGCGUAAGGAAGGGAGACCGGGGGAACUGAAACAUCUAAGUACCCCGAGGAAAAGAAAGAAACAUCGAUUCCCCGAGUAGCGGCGAGCGAAACGGGAAGAGCCCAAACCAACUGGUUACGGCCAGUUGGGGUUUGGACAUUUUCAAUAAGUUUGGAAGUAGCGAUAGCCGAAUUGUCUGGGAAGGCAGGUCAAAGAGGGUAACAACCCCGUAGGCGAAAUUGCGAACCGAAACGAGAAUGUUCCAGAGUACCACCGGACACGAGAAACCCGGUGGGAACAUGGGGGGACCACCCCCCAAGGCUAAAUACGACCCAGUGACCGAUAGCGAAUAGUACCGUGAGGGAAAGGUGAAAAGAACCCCGGGAGGGGAGUGAAACAGAACCUGAAACCCUUUGCUUACAAGCUGUGGGAGCAUUUUUAACGAAUGUGACCGCGUACUUUUUGUAGAACGGGCCAACGAGUUGCGAUUGGUAGCAAGGUUAAGCUCUUCAGGAGCGGAGCCGCAGCGAAAGCGAGUCUUAAGAGGGCGAUAAGUUACCGGUUGCAGACCCGAAACCGUGCGAUCUACCCAUGGCCAGGUUGAAGCGAGAGUAAAAUCUCGUGGAGGACCGAACCAGGUGACGUUGAAAAGUCAUUGGAUGAGCUGUGGGUAG
rnacentral:rRNA from 1 species